GGGUCGUUGGUUGUAACUGGUAACACACAAGACUCCAAAUCUUGAGUCAGGGGUUCGAGUCCUCUACUUCCCGCCA
rnacentral:tRNA from 1 species